rnacentral:rRNA from 1 species
UACGUAGGGGGCAAGCGUUGUCCGGAAUCAUUGGGCGUAAAGAGCGUGUAGGCGGCCAGAUAAGUCCGCUGUGAAAUCUCGAGGCUCAACUUCGAGCUGUCGGUGGAAACUGUCUGGCUAGAGUCCGGAAGAGGAGAAUGGAAUUCCUGGUGUAGCGGUGAAAUGCGCAGAGAUCGGGAGGAACACCCGUAGCGAAGGCGGCGCUCUGGGCCGGUACUGACGCUGAGGAGCGAAAGCGUGGGGAGCAAACAGG